GGGGGCGCGGGAGGAGCCACGGUCCCGCUUCCCGCUGCAUUGGGCGGCGGGUGUCGGCGGGCCAUGGAGGGCCAGCUCCGCGCGGAGGACAGGCUGCUGCGGCAGCUCCGGGACAGCCGCUGCCGCUUCCAGAGGCACAUGCAGCAGCUGAUAGAGAAGUACAACCAGCCCUUCGAGGAUGCCCCGCUGGUGCAGAUGUCCACGCUGACCUAUGAGACACCCCAGGGAUUGAGAAUUUGGGGAGGAGGACUGGUAAAGGAGACAAACAAAGGACAAAUCCAGGACUCCCUGGUGGAGUGGGUCAGCCGGAGCGGCAGCAGCCCCGAGGGAGCCAGCGCCCAAUGCCCGAGGCUUCCCCUGUCCUGCGCACAAGGCCUGGGAGCGGAUUCAAACAACAAUGAUGAUGCGUCUUUCUAUCAGGAAGAUGUGAUUGCUGGGUCCUUCAUGCCUGCAGCGCCUUGGAGCCCUUCGAAAAAUGAGUUAAGGAGGAAAUACUUGACCCAAGUGGAUAUACUGCUGCAGGACGAAGGCUGGUCAGAGGGCACUGAUGGAGAUGGAGAGGACGCCCAUGUGACGCUGAUCCCUUCAUCAGCCUUACCUGCCACACCUGCCCAUGGGUGCUGUGACGUGUCUGGAGAGAGUCCUGGCGACCCAGUUGAGCCAGCUUCAUGUCCCAGAGAGUGUGAUCCUUCACGCCCCUGCUCGGCAGACCUGGCCCUGGUGCCUAGAAGCGACAGUCUCUGGCUACACGGGGCCGGGGGGAGCAGCUUCUCAAGCAGCCCACCCCUUGAGGCUGACAACAUCUGUGACGUGACGAUCAGCGACCUGUACGCAGGCAUGCUGCACUCCAUGAGCCGGCUGCUGAGCACAAAGCCGUCGUGCAUCAUCUCCACCAAAACCUCGUUCAUCGCUCACAGCUGGAACUCCAGGCGGAGGCACAAGUGUAAGAGCAGAAUGAACAGGACGCGUUGCCGGGGAGCCGGGCCCUCUCGGAGGGGUCCCCAGGACAGACUCCCUCCCUGUUCUGAGCCAGGGAAGAAUAGGGAAGUGUUAAGAGAUUGUGAGAACGUACUAGAUGCUUCUGGCCAGAAAGCAGAUUUAAAAAUGGAAAAAGCUUUUCCUAAAGUAAACAAACUCAAGGUCUGCAAAUUAGAUCCAAGUUGGAGGGAGUUUAAGGGGCUAAGAAGUUUAAUGUCCCAGAGGAGUUCUUCGAUGACUUACGGAGAUGCCAGGGCAGUGCGUCGUCUUGAUCGGGAAAAUAGAUUCAUGGCAUUAAAAUGGUUAAUUUCUCCUGUAAAAAUCCUUUCCAGACCAGGAGUACUGCCAGGCAAGGGAGGGAAUCAUUACAGGCAAAUUGAAAUCAAAUUUGAUAAGCUUCAUCAGGAAUAUUGCCCCAGCCCCGGGAAGCAGCCCUGCCUGACUGCCCCCCCAGGACCCUCGGCUGUGGCCAUGUACAGGGGUGACCCAGCGAGCCCUCGCGGCCCCCAGGCCUUAGAAAUCCGCAGUCUCAGCGGGCUUUUCUGCAGAGCCGAAGCCAAGAGGUCAAAUGAGGCUUUUGAGGACCUGGGUGAAGGAGCUAUUGGAGCAGGGAGACGCCUGCAGAGGAGGAGCUCCCCUCCCUCGCUUCCAGAGACCAGCUCCACGCAGAGUCUCAGCCGCUCUGAGCAGACGCUGGACCUUCUUUCUCAAGGAAACAAUCUUGGAAUACUUGGAAAGUCACUAUCCCCCAGCAGAACUAGCUCAGUAGCAGGGGUACUGCCUCUAAGCUGCGGAAGGGAUCGUUACAGUGAAAUUAAAGAAAAAUUUGACAAGCUUCAUCGAGAGUAUUGCCAGAAAUCGCCGAAGCGGACCCAGGCGCCUUUAUGUAUCGGAGCACCUCCAGAGAGAUCAAGUGUGGAAGCCCCGUAUCCAAAAGGAGGCAUCUUAGAAAAAUUAAAACCAGACUUUGGCUUCCAGGGUCCCCCAAAGCUGUCAGCAUCACCCCAGCGGAGCAGAGAAAGCACGCCGGGCUCAACCACACUCGAGUGCUUCAUGCUCACGGCCAGGAGGGCCCACCAGUCCCCUCCAAAGAGACGCCAGUUAUCAGACUCCCUGCUGUAUGGACAGUGGGCCAGUUCCCCGGAUUCGUCGCGUGUGGUGGGCCAGGCCACCCUGAGGCCGGGCGAGAGCCCAGCCCUCGCCAGCCCCCCUGGGAAAAGAAGAGAAGCUUGGCGGAGGGGGGAGCAUUGCACAUCACGGCGGGUUGUUCACCUGUUUCACAUGAGCGCCAGGCUUUCCAGCGUGCACUUCAGUGUAUCCCCAGGCCAGGAUUCAGACACGUGACUCCUCGAGUCAUUCAGACCCACACGGCUCCCCUCGGAGAAUAUUUGCAAAAACCUUGCAGUGCCUUGGCCACAGCAGAGGCUGGGUGCAGGAGCCAGCUGCCUCCUCCGAGUGAGCACAACGUGAUUGAGGUCCGGGGCCUUGGUGAGGCCAGACAUGGAGCUGGAGCAGAAAGGGAGGGGACUGCCCACGCCCCAGGAGGCCCUCCCCCGAUAGCAUGAGAUCCUUUCCCUUUCUUCUGGGCCUUGUGCUCUUUGCCUGCACCCACCUCACACCAGGCCCUCAGCAGGGUAAGUGGGAGCCACAGGGAGUCCUGUGGGGCCGAGGCUUUCAGGGACCAUGGCAGGGACUCCAAGGAGACUUGAGGGUGGGUACCAGUGACCCUACAGAAUGACCUUCCUUCUCAGUUGAGAAGGGUUGUCACGAAGGCAGCGCCUCUAGUGAGAGCCAUUCCCGGGGUCCCCCAGCCCCUGACCCGUCAGAUGUCAGGGCUCCCUUGUCCACUGGCCCCGCUCGUCUAAGCCUGCACCUGCUCCUGCAGUGUCCGUCCUGCUCCUCAGGCUCAACUCUGGCUUUUCCCACCUCGUCCCCAGAUUUGCUGGCAGGUCACACCGCCUGCUGGCUCAGCCCCUGGAGCUCAGCGGGUCGCUCCCCAGCCCUCUUCUGGCUCACCAGCACCCGACCCACCUUCCCACCUCAGGAGAUCCCCCUUCUGGAUGCCUGGCUCUCUCGUUCACCUGCCCAGCGAGGGUGCCUGGAGCAGGGACGGCCCACCAAGGUCACAGCCGUGAGCAGUGCCUUCUGCCUGGCAUUGGAGCACCUGGAGGAGGACUCAGCCCUUUGUGGGGCCCUUGGAAAGAACACCUCUUUCAAGAUGGAAGAGAAAAGUGACUUUGUAUUAGAGAAAUUGAAAGCUGAAGACGUAUAGCCGAGUUAUUUUAGAGAGUUGUCUAUCUUCCCCCUUCCUGUGUGUGUGUGUGUGUGUGUGUGUGUGUGUGUUUAAUCCUCAAGAAUAUGUGAGAACUGGCUUCACUUAACUGCCCUUCAAAGCAAAUGUCAGUGAAACUGAUCCCAUUGAAAUGACUCUUUGAGUUCUUGGUAUAGAAGUUAUUUGAAUAAAGUUACUCGAUUAAAAUUUUUCACGUGACCUUUA